AACGCGAAGAACCUUACUUGGGUUUGGCAUGCACUGUGUCACCGAUAAAAGUCGGCUAGUGUAGCAAUACACGCUUUGCACAGGUGCUGCAUGGCUGUCGUCAGCUCGUGUCGUGAGAUGUUGGGUUAAGUCCCGCAACGAGCGCAACCCUCGUGACUAGUUAAUCCCGGGCAACCGGAUUCUGGUCAGACUGCCCUGUGAAACGGGGAGGAAGGUGGGGACGACGUCAAGUCCGUAUGGCCCUUACGGCCAGGGCUGCACACGUACUACAAUGCUCACUACAGAGGGACGCAAGACCGCAAGGUGGAGCCAAUCCCUAAAAGUGGGCUCAGUUCGGAUUGGAGGCUGCAACUCGCCUCCAUGAAGCCGGAAUCGCUAGUAAUGGCGCAUCAGCUACGGCGCCGUGAAUACGUUCCCGGGUCUUGUACACACCG
rnacentral:rRNA from 1 species